AUUGAACGCUGGCGGCAGGCCUAACACAUGCAAGUCGAGCGGAUGAGUGGAGCUUGCUCCAUAAUUCAGCGGCGGACGGGUGAGUAAUGCCUAGGAAUCUGCCUGGUAGUGGGGGACAACGUUUCGAAAGGAACGCUAAUACCGCAUACGUCCUACGGGAGAAAGCAGGGGACCUUCGGGCCUUGCGCUAUCAGAUGAGCCUAGGUCGGAUUAGCUAGUAGGUGAGGUAAAGGCUCACCUAGGCGACGAUCCGUAACUGGUCUGAGAGGAUGAUCAGUCACACUGGAACUGAGACACGGUCCAGACUCCUACGGGAGGCAGCAGUGGGGAAUAUUGGACAAUGGGCGAAAGCCUGAUCCAGCCAUGCCGCGUGUGUGAAGAAGGUCUUCGGAUUGUAAAGCACUUUAAGUUGGGAGGAAGGGCAGUAAGUUAAUACCUUGCUGUUUUGACGUUACCAACAGAAUAAGCACCGGCUAACUUCGUGCCAGCCGCCGCGGUAAAAC
rnacentral:rRNA from 1 species